rnacentral:lncRNA from 1 species
CCCGAGUGGCGCAGCAUCACUACAGACCCUGGUUCGAUCCCAGGCUGUAUCACAACCGCCCGUGAUCGGGAGUCCUAUAGGGCGCGCACAAUUGGUCCAGCGUCGUCCGGACUCCUCCACCUUGGCUGGUGUCCUUGGAGACUGGAGUUGGCCGGCCUGUCACACCUAGGCCUUAUUAACUAAUGGGCUACCUGAGCUCCUUAAAAAUGGAGCUUCCAGUUCGCUCUCGGUCUGCUGCUGGAGGGAGAACACCAACGGGGAACCGCUGCUGCUGUCACCGCCACUACAGCAUCUACUGUCACUUGGAUCACAUCUCGUCCAGCCACCGAUGACCGGCAGCCAGGGGGAGACCAAACAGGGUGGAGAGAAAUGUUGACAGUUUUUAAUAUUGUCAGAAGGUGGGUGUAGCUGGUGCAUGAAGUCAGGCGCAGGAGAGCAGAAACGAGGCUUCUGGUGGCAAAACUGAUUACAUCUUAAUCUCGCUUCUUGGAGGGAGACAAUGGCUCUGUAAGUACAGCUGCUUGGCAGAAAGAGACAGAUACAUUAAAAACAAAUUAAAAUAAGAAAAUCUUCCCAGCGACAGUAUCUCUCACACCUGUCAGCCUGAAAAACAGGCCUAUUAAACAAUGAAUUGGAAAACGAACACACUGUCUUGGUUAUGCAAGUUGGGGGCUCUCUGUACAGUACGUUUACCUAAGGAUCAGAUCCAAUUUUUGCUUAAAAUGACAUUACCAAAUCUAACUGCCUGUAGCUCAGGAUCUGAAGCAAGGAUAUGCAAAUUCUUGAUACAUUACAUUUACAUUACAUUUAAGUCAUUUAGCAGACGCUCUUAUCCAGAGCGACUUACAAAUUGGUGCAUUCACCUUAUGAUAUCCAGUGGAACAACGACUUUACAAUAGUGCAUCUAAAUCUUUUAAGGGGGGGGGGGGGUUACUUUAUCCUAUCCUAGGUAUUCCUUAAAGAGGUGGGGUUUCAGGUGUCUCCGGAAGGUGGUGAUUGACUCCGCUGUCCUGGCGUUGUGAGGGAGCUUGUUCCACCAUUGGGGUGCCAGAGCAGCGAACAGUUUUGACUGGGCUGAGCGGGAACUGUGCUUCCUCAGAGGUAGGGGGGCCAGCAGGCCAGAGGUGGAUGAACGCAGUGCCCUUGUUUGGGUGUAGGGCCUGAUCAGAGCCUGAAGGUAUGGAGGUGCCGUUCCCUUCACAGCUCCGUAGGCAAUCACCAUGGUCUUGUAGCGGAUGCGAGCUUCAACUGGAAGCCAGUGGAGAGAGCGGAGGAGCGGGGUGACGUGAGAGAACUGAUACCAUUUGAAAGGAAAAACUUUGAAGUUUGUGGAAAUGUGAAAUGAAUGUAGGAUAACACAUUAGAUCUGGU